GGUCGCUCCAAGCCACGUCCACUCCCGCUCCCACAAUGCCGGGCGCCGCCGCCGCACGUCAGUCCCGCUUCCGCACGCAGCGGCUCGGGAAGAGGCGGGGCGGAGCAGGGAUCGCUGGCCCUGGAAACGCUUUCCAACCGGCUGAGGAAGCGUUGGGGGGGCGGGAGCUGAAGGGUUUGGGGCCCCAAAGGCGCGCGGUUAGAGCUUCCUUUGAGGCAAGUGUUCAGUCCUGCACUGAGCCUCCAGAGCGUGUCGACCUGUAAGAUCACGAAGUUCUUCUGGAUGAAGCCAUGUUAUGGCUGACUUGCAAUGACCAGAUCCUUGUAAGAAGCCAGUGAUUCCAUAGGUAAAAUGGACACCUUAUACCAGCAAUAAGGAAGUUCCUGAUCCUGGCUUGAUUCAUCAUCUUGUUCAUCUGUUUCCAUUUCACCUGGAAUGAAGGAUACAAUCAAUGAAACUGACACUACUUCUUAUUCAAACAGCAAUGUAUUUACUUUUUAUUUUCAUUAAGCAAAAUGAAAGCAUGGAUGAAUAUCAUGCUAAAAAUAAAGGGCAUCACUUGAUGCUGAAGUCUAUGAAUACACACGUGUGUAACAAUUAGCUCCAAGUUUCUUUAAAUAUGCUGUGCAUUCUAUUAACAAUUGACUGGGCAGAAGUGGUAUAAACUGUAAGCCCCUUCUCUAUACAUGUCAGAGCCUGGCAAGAGUUCUCUUUUUACUUGCAGGACAGCUGCCAUAACACGAAGGAUUGUGGAAAAACUAAAGGAAUACUGAAAGACAUACUUUAGAACCUUUCCCUCAAAACUGAAUCAAAACAACAGUAUGAUACUCAAAUCUUACUUGGGGAUCCUUCUUCAUGAAUUCCAUUUGGGCCAUUACCAUUUAUACUAUUGUCCUUGCAGCACUGCAAAGAUGCUUCAGUGUCUUCUGUUUCAGUAGAGGUUUUCACGUAUCGACUAAAAACAUCAAGUAGUUGGAACAAAAAUAAAAAUUAGUUGCAA